rnacentral:pre_miRNA from 1 species
UCUUAAGGAUGAGCAAAGAAAGCACUUUCUUGAGAUGGAAUCUACUCCUGGUGAAGAUGCUGUGAA